rnacentral:lncRNA from 1 species
UUCACUUCACUUCCUCUUUCUGUUUGCUCAUCAAAAGAAGCUUGCUUGCAUCAAUUUUUGGAGAAUUAGCUUGCUCAUCAUUUAGCCAACACAGGCACACAGCUAUACAUCAUCACUUGCUCCUGGAACAAUAAGGUUAGCACUUGUUCAAGUUGUGCAAUAAAAUCGUUAGUUUUCAUAGGAAAUGUUAUGAUUUUUACUCUCUUAACUCAAAUUCACAACCCUAAUCACUAAUCAAUGGACCAACCUCCGCGUCCGAAGCCUGCUGUCCUGCGGCAAGCCUAGAACCAAAUACAUGCGGCCUGCUUGUACUCUACAGCCAAGAUCUAUGGAAAAAAAACAAAAGGGGCAAAAGUCUGCAUAUACCACUGCAAGAGGAUGCACAGACCUGCAAUAAACGAGUCUCGUCGAUCCCUGCGGCCACUCGUCCCGUCGUGGCCGAUCCCCACCACCGCCCUCGUCGAUGCCGCAUACGGCAACGGCUGAGGCGAAGGUGCCUGCUACUGGUAGGACGAGGUCUUGGAGAGAUUCAUCGACUGCGGAGAGAGAGAGAGGGAUUGCGGGCGAGGAUACGCAUGAAGAGAGCGAGAGGAAAGCUGUUUCACAGACUAAGAAAAGAUAUUUAUUCGAGCUUUACAGGAUUUUUUUAUUAUUUCACGCUUGCCUUUUUGCCGCGAGAGAGCUACCGCGCGCGCUCAUUUCCCGCCAUGAAUUUUCCCAUAAGGUCGUACUGGAGGCAAAAUUUCCUCCGUUUUCUUCUUGGGACCCGUACGAUAGGAAAAAAUCCUUUACUUUUCCUGCCAUUCAAUCCUGUAAAACGAACAUGGUUGAUAGGAAUAAAUCUGCUACAAACAGUAUUCCUCCACUUCUCCUGUGAAACGAAUAGGGCCUUA